UGAGAAACCGAUCCUUUAUUUUGGUGCCAAGCAUUUUACUCAUGACCAUAUCACCAUGUUCAUGUGACUGGAACACAAAACUUUUGCAAAUCAGGAAACAGCAGAGAAAAUAAUCUUCUUCCAUUAUGAUUCCAUCUUCAUCCACAAGAUCCCAAAUUACCUGUGACCCCAGCCAAAAUUGUAGGCAUGUGUGUGUCUGGUCAUGCACACUGUUGAUCCAGACUCUGGCUUGCUGAGUUGACUUCCUAGCAUGACUUUGGACCUUGCAGCUAUGGACUUGCUCAAUGCUCACUGCUGUGAUCCUUUAGGACUGUCUAAAUCUCUUCUCUACAACACCAUCCUCCUGCAAAUGCCUCAGUGCAAUCGUUAGCAGCAUGCUGACAAGUGGAGAAAAUGUCUUUUGUCUUGCAGGAUGAACACUACCUGUCAACAGUAUUUUUACAUUUUUGUCAGUUUCCUAUGAAAAUAUCUCCACUUGCACUGUUUGAU
rnacentral:lncRNA from 1 species